rnacentral:rRNA from 1 species
UUUCCUCCUUUCUGCAUCCGUAGGGAAUCUUCCCCAAUGGGCGACCGCCUGCUUUCUCCCCUCCUCUUUUUUUACUCAUGUCUUCGGAUCGUAAAACCCUGUUGUUAGAGAAGAAAGUGCGUGAGAGUAACUGUUCACGUUUCGACGGUAUCUAACCAGAAAGCCACGGCUAACUACGUGCCAGCAGCCGCGGUAAUACGUAGGUGGCAAGCGUUAUCCGGAUUUAUUGGGCGUAAAGGGAACGCAGGCGGUCUUUUAAGUCUGAUGUGAAAGCCUUCGGCUUAACCGGAGUAGUGCAUUGGAAG